AAAUUGAAGAGUUUGAUCAUGGCUCAGAUUGAACGCUGGCGGCAGGCCUAACACAUGCAAGUCGAGCGGUAGCACAGAGAGCUUGCUCUCGGGUGACGAGCGGCGGACGGGUGAGUAAUGUCUGGGAAACUGCCUGAUGGAGGGGGAUAACUACUGGAAACGGUAGCUAAUACCGCAUAACGUCGCAAGACCAAAGUGGGGACCUUCGGGCCUCAUGCCAUCAGAUGUGCCCAGAUGGGAUUAGCUAGUAGGUGGGGUAACGGCUCACCUAGGCGACGAUCCCUAGCUGGUCUGAGAGGAUGACCAGCCACACUGGAACUGAGACACGGUCCAGACUCCUACGGGAGGCAGCAGUGGGGAAUAUUGCACAAUGGGCGCAAGCCUGAUGCAGCCAUGCCGCGUGUGUGAAGAAGGCCUUCGGGUUGUAAAGCACUUUCAGCGGGGAGGAAGGCGGUGAGGUUAAUAACCUCAUCGAUUGACGUUACCCGCAGAAGAAGCACCGGCUAACUCCGUGCCAGCAGCCGCGGUAAUACGGAGGGUGCAAGCGUUAAUCGGAAUUACUGGGCGUAAAGCGCACGCAGGCGGUCUGUCAAGUCGGAUGUGAAAUCCCCGGGCUCAACCUGGGAACUGCAUUCGAAACUGGCAGGCUAGAGUCUUGUAGAGGGGGGUAGAAUUCCAGGUGUAGCGGUGAAAUGCGUAGAGAUCUGGAGGAAUACCGGUGGCGAAGGCGGCCCCCUGGACAAAGACUGACGCUCAGGUGCGAAAGCGUGGGGAGCAAACAGGAUUAGAUACCCGGUAGUCCACGCCGUAAACGAUGUCGAUUUGGAGGUUGUGCCCUUGAGGCGUGGCUUCCGGAGCUAACGCGUUAAAUCGACCGCACGGGAGUACGGCCGCAAGGUUAAAACUCAAAUGAAUUGACGGGGCCCGCACAAGCGGUGGAGCAUGUGGUUUAAUUCGAUGCAACGCGAAGAACCUUACCUGGUCUUGACAUCCACAGAACUUUCCAGAGAUGGAUUGGUGCCUUCGGGAACUGUGAGACAGGUGCUGCAUGGCUGUCGUCAGCUCGUGUUGUGAAAUGUUGGGUUAAGUCCCGCAACGAGCGCAACCCUUAUCCUUUGUUGCCAGCGGUUAGGCCGGGAACUCAAAGGAGACUGCCAGUGAUAAACUGGAGGAAGGUGGGGAUGACGUCAAGUCAUCAUGGCCCUUACGACCAGGGCUACACACGUGCUACAAUGGCAUAUACAAAGAGAAGCGACCUCGCGAGAGCAAGCGGACCUCAUAAAGUAUGUCGUAGUCCGGAUUGGAGUCUGCAACUCGACUCCAUGAAGUCGGAAUCGCUAGUAAUCGUAGAUCAGAAUGCUACGGUGAAUACGUUCCCGGGCCUUGUACACACCGCCCGUCACACCAUGGGAGUGGGUUGCAAAAGAAGUAGGUAGCUUAACCUUCGGGAGGGCGCUUACCACUUUGUGAUUCAUGACUGGGGUGAAGUCGUAACAAGGUAACCGUAGGGGAACCUGCGGUUGGAUCACCUCCUUACCUUAAAGAA
rnacentral:rRNA from 1 species